CACUAAAGUAAGAUUAUGGUUUUAAUCUUUGUUAUUGAGAGCAUGUUAUAUGAUUAAAUUAUUAAGUUAAUUCUAACAAGUGGUAUCAGAGCAGGUCUUCAAUGUUUGAUUUAUUAAAAUUAAAAAUUAUUUUUGCUAGUAGUUUAUCGCAAUAUAUUUUGUGUGCAUUCGGUGAUCGAUUGAAAAUAUGUCGUUCGAUAAAGAUUUGGAAUUUUAGUCUGGUUCAUGAAGUGAUCGUGAUAUUGGAUAAAAUAUUUUUCUUUCAAUGUUAGCUUUUCCGUUUCGUUGACCGCUGACAUAUAUAUGGGUUAUGCACAUAUAUUUAUUUGCUACGGACAUUUAAAAUUGAUUUGCAGGAAGUAACAUAAGGUUUAAUUGAUGUCUAUCAAUUGGUUAAACUUCCUAAAGCUUGUUUUUAUAAACUACUAGAACAAUUGCAGGCUUAUUUAAAUUUUGGACUGCGUUAGCGAUGGUUGGCAUACUGUUUUCUUCGUUUGUGCUUCAAUUGGCUAUUGAAGAAAUAAAGUUAGAAUUUGUUUGUACCAUACACGAUUGUUUGGCAAUUUUAUUUUUAUUUAAUUUGCGAGUUAUAAUAAAUAAAAAUAAAAUUACUUUUGAAUCAUGAUUGAUAUUUGGGAGUUAUAAUAUCAGGAUAAAAUCACUUUUGUAAAGACUAUGAUUUGGUUUUCCUUAUUUAUAAAGUUUGAUUAUUUUCUAAAAUUAAGGAUAAGGAUUUAGAUUUAAUUUUGGUGAUUCAGUUUUGAAAUCAAAUCUCUUAGAUGAUUCAGUUUGUCGCCAAAAAUAGGGCAUUGUACUUAGAUUUGGAAUUAUAUAAUUGAUUCACAAAUUAUUUUUGUACUUAAAAGAUUGUUUUGAGAUAUAAGUCAACCACAUCUUCUAUAUUUGGUUUUGUUCUCAUAUAAUAUACAGUUAUGUUUUCAGUUAAUCAGCCAAGUCUCUCUCAUUUAAUUAAAUUAUGAUAAAAACUUUGCGGUUAAAAUUAAAUUUCAGCUGUGUUGAAUAUUGAAAUUAUGGUUUGGUACAAAGGUUUUAGAGACUCGGUUGAUAUGAAAUUUUGAGAAAUAAGGCAUAUGAAGAUUUGGUAAAUAUAUAUUUGGGUAUUAUAGAAAGUAAUAAGGAUUCUCAAAAUAUUUUAAUCAAAUUUGGUGUGUACGAAAAUUAAAGUUUUGAUUCUUUAAUAUUUUUUUUUUGGGAAAUAUUGAUUCUAUAAUUAUUUGUUUAAUUACAGAUAUAUAAAGUUUUUGGUUUCCUUCUAUUUUGGAAAAUACAGUUAUAGAAUUCUAUUUAUUUAUUUAAAGAAUCAUUGAGUACAUGUGAAUCAAUUGUGGCAUGAAUAUUCUUUGGUAUGUAUAAAGAUUUAAUUUAAUUUUAAAUUAAAUAUUUAAUUUAUAGCAUGAUUAUGAUGUUUGAGUUUAUUGUU
rnacentral:lncRNA from 1 species